UCUCCCUCCCAACAUCAACAGAAGUUGCCAGUGAACCAAACCUCCACCCGCUCAGAUCUUUCGCCGACUUUCAUCUUGGCAUCUUGGCAUCUUUCGCCAACAUCAACAGAAGCGGCAAGUGUUUCUUCUCUUUUUUUACUUAAUUUGGAUUUUUAAUUUUCUUUCUCAUGAUUGUUUUGUCGACAAAAAACAGAAUUGUGUUCUUCAACUAUGGUGGGUUUUGUCUGUUGAAAUUAGGGUUUUUUUGGGAUAAAUUUUGAAUUCUCCUGCAUUUUGAUUCUAUCUUGUAUCCUUCACAGUUGUCUGUUGAAAUAACUUCUAUUUGCUCUUUGCUCUUUGGUGUUUCAUGUCUGCUGCCUGAUU
rnacentral:lncRNA from 1 species